UACGGAGGAGGCAAGCGUUAUCCGGGAUUAUUGGGCGUAAAGCGUCCGUAGGUGGUUGGCCAAGUCUGCUGUCAAAGGGUGGGGCUUAACCUCAUAAAGGCAGUGGAAACUGGCGAGCUAGAGUGCGGUAGGGGUAGGGGGAAUUCCCAGUGUAGCGGUGAAAUGCGUAGAGAUUGGGAAGAACAUCGGUGGCGAAAGCGACCUGCUGGGCCUGCACUGACGCUGAGGGACGAAAGCUAGGGGAGCGAAAGGG
rnacentral:rRNA from 1 species